AGAAUUUGAUCUUGGUUCAGGAUGAACGCUAGCGGCAGGCUUAACACAUGCAAGUCGAGGGGCAGCGGGAUGUAGCAAUACAUUGCCGGCGACCGGCGGAUGGGUGCGUAACGCGUAUGCAACCUACCUUAUACAGGGGAAUAACCUUUCGAAAGGGAGACUAACACCCCAUAGUAUUGAUUUAAGGCAUCUUAGAUUAAUUAAAUAUUUAUAGGUAUAAGAUGGGCAUGCGUAUGAUUAGCUAGUUGGUAAGGUAACGGCUUACCAAGGCGACGAUCAUUAGGGGUUCUGAGAGGAAGGUCCCCCACACUGGUACUGAGACACGGACCAGACUCCUACGGGAGGCAGCAGUGAGGAAUAUUGGUCAAUGGGCGCAAGCCUGAACCAGCCAUGCCGCGUGCCAGGAAGACGGCCUUAUGGGUUGUAAACUGCUUUUACAUAAGACUAACCGUAUAUUUGCGAAUAUACCUGAAUGUAUUAUGAGAAUAAGGAUCGGCUAACUCCGUGCCAGCAGCGGC
rnacentral:rRNA from 1 species